rnacentral:rRNA from 1 species
GGCGAACGGGUGAGUAACACGUGGGUGACCUGCCCCGAAGUGGGGGAUAACUACUCGAAAGGGUAGCUAAUACCGCAUGUGCUUCGGCUUUCGUUUGUCGAAGCAAAGGAGCAAUCCGCUUUGGGAGGGGCCCGCGGCCCAUCAGCUAGUUGGUAGGGUAAUGGCCUACCAAGGCUAUGACGGGUAGCUGGUCUGAGAGGACGAUCAGCCACACUGGCACUGAGACACGGGCCAGACUCCUACGGGAGGCAGCAGUGAGGAAUAUUGCGCAAUGGGCGAAAGCCAGACGCAGCAACGCCGCGUGGGCGAUGAAGGUCUUCGGAUCGUAAAGCCCUUUUCCAGAGGAAGAGGAAGGACAGUACUCUGGGAAUAAGUCUCGGCUAACUACGUGCCAGCAGCCGCGGUAAAACGUAGGAGGCAAGCGUUAUCCGGAUUUAUUGGGCGUAAAGCGCGUGCAGGCGGUGCCUUAAGUUGGACGUGAAAUCUCCCGGCCUAACUGGGAGCGGCCGUUCAAUACUGGGGCACUUGA